UACGUAGGGUGCAAGCGUUGUCCGGAAUUAUUGGGCGUAAAGAGCUCGUAGGCGGUCUGUCGCGUCGGCUGUGAAAACUUGGGGCUCAACCCCAAGCCUGCAGUCGAUACGGGCAGACUAGAGUGCGGUAGGGGAGACUGGAAUUCCUGGUGUAGCGGUGAAAUGCGCAGAUAUCAGGAGGAACACCGGUGGCGAAGGCGGGUCUCUGGGCAGUAACUGACGCUGAGGCGCGACAGCGUGGGGAGCAAACAGG
rnacentral:rRNA from 1 species